GAUAAAGCAGGAGAAUGUAAAAAUACAGAGGGUGGACACAGUGCAAAUCUGAAUCCUGCAUGCAUUGUUUAUUCCAGGAAUUACUUCAGGAUGCAGUGCCCAGCGUACGCUCCGGGCACGUAGCUGAAAGGGACAAGAGGAUGCUAAGCCAGCAAUGAAGACUCUUUGAUCAAGGUCCCAUAUAUGAAAAACAUACGUAACCGUGCACGGAACAACAAACUUUCCACAGAGUGACUUCUUCCUGGUUCAGGUCACAGUACAAACAUCACCUCUUAACACUUUUCCUGAAUGAGCUGUAUCUAAAGUGGCUCCCCCAACCCUGGACACCUUAAGCUUAUCAUCUUUUGGACUUUCUGUCUUUAGGUAGUUAUCACGAUGUGAAAUGGCCCUCAUUCAGUCACUUGUGUAAUGUGUCCUCCUCCUCACUGAGAGCAAGAACCUUGUCCAUCUUGCUCACAGUAGCUUCCUCAGCACCCAGUAAAUGCUGUGAUCCCAAUAAACAUGUGCUAAGUGAAUUACUGCUUGCUCUCAUUUAGCAACCUGCAGGAAAUAAACGCAAUGCUUAAAAUAAGAUUAUCCAAGCUGUUUCAUGACCUUCCUUUCGAGCAUCUCCCUGAGUGAUU